rnacentral:lncRNA from 1 species
GGCAGGUCAGGGGUGUCAAGGUGCCCCAACCCAGUAUGUGCAGAUGGGAUGGUGGGAUCUAGGUAGACCCAUGAUGAGAACAGAGGGGACAACAUGGAGUCUUGUUGGAAAGGCAGACUUUGUGAUAGCUCUUGCUUGAUUUUAUAUCUUGGUGGACCAUCAGAUUCUGAUUUUAAUGCAAAUACAUUCCAUUCCUUUAAAUAUAUACACUCUCUUCCAUAUGUAUUAUAAAUAAAAAAGAACUUAUUUAGAAUAGCUCUGGGCUCACUCAUGUUUUUGUAUAUUACUGUAUCCUUUUGGAGCUGUUCUCCAAACUCUAGAGGCACCAUUCAGACAGAAGAAAUCAAUUUCAGACACGAUGGGAUAACAGUUUUCAACUCACUGGGCUGCAAGUUUGCAGGUCUCUGGAAAAAUUGUAGAGAAA